AGCCGAACAGCUAGCCCACCAAACUAAUAUCAUCACAAACACAUAACUACACCCUAAUCCACUAAAAUUAACCAACAAACCAUUUUCCCCUUCUAGUAUGGGAGACAGAAAAAAAAC
rnacentral:rRNA from 1 species